GGCUGUAGCUCAGUGGCAGAGCACUUGCCUCUCGCGUGUGAAGCAUUGGGUUCGAUCCUCAGCACCA
rnacentral:tRNA from 1 species